rnacentral:rRNA from 1 species
AGUGAACGCUGGCGGUAGGCCUAACACAUGCAAGUCGAACGGCAGCACAGUAAGAGCUUGCUCUUACGGGUGGCGAGUGGCGGACGGGUGAGGAAUACAUCGGAAUCUACUUUUUCGUGGGGGAUAACGUAGGGAAACUUACGCUAAUACCGCAUACGACCUACGGGUGAAAGCAGGGGAUCUUCGGACCUUGCGCGAUUGAAUGAGCCGAUGUCGGAUUAGCUAGUUGGCGGGGUAAAGGCCCACCAAGGCGACGAUCCGUAGCUGGUCUGAGAGGAGGAUGAGCGAAGCUGGAAAUGAGAAACGCACCAGAGUCGGACGAGAGCGAGAAGAGGGUAAAGGUGGACUAUGGGAGCAGGCCUGCUGCAGACGUACCACGUGGGUGAAGAAGUCCGUCGGGUUGUAGAGCACAUUUGUUGGGUAAGAAAAGGUGCAGGUUAAUACCCCAGUGUUCUGACGGUACUCAAGGUAUAGGCACUGGCAACCUUCGU